GAAUUGAUGUUCCCCCUGAGAACUAGACUCCCACUUGUUCCCCCUGUGAAUCAGACCCAUCUCUCAAUCAUAACAACUUUUUAAUAUUUUUCAUAGAUCAAUUUGAUCCACUGAAACAUAGCAUAGCAAUAUCAAUUCAAUUUGAAUUCUAAUUACCCCUCUCCUUUGAACUUCCCCCUUUUGGCAUCAUAGAAAAGAGUAAUAAAAGUGGCACAAGCAAAAAGAAGUUUAGAAGCAUUAACUCAUUGCCACUGGGGAAACACAACAUAAUCAACAACAGGAACAACAAACGAACAUCAUGGCAUACAAAACAGAGCAAUUUUCCAUAUUUAAACUAUUAAUAAGUGAAGCCUUGGUGAACGACGAAUGACACUUCCGUAAUAAAUAUGUUUUUUAUGGGUAUUAUCGUGUAACACUUUUAACUUUUAACUAUCUGCGUUCUCAUGGUAGGCAAAGCCAUGUGAUACUCUGGCUGCGAACUCUUUUAGCUUUUCCAUGUUUCAUUCUACCAGGACAAAGGUGACACUUGGCUUCUUCUUUAUAAUUUUCUAAGCAAUCUGUCUAAUUUUCAUUUCUCUUCCCUUUCUUCUGUUUUUCUUCCACUGUUUCUUCCUCUCAGGUGAGUUUCUUCCUCUUUGAAAUUCCUUUUUUUUGUUCAAUCGGUUAGUAUUUAAUUUCUAUUUAUCUUUUCUUUCUAAUUUUUUUGUUCUUUGUUCUUUAUUUUACAUGUCCUUUUCUGUAGUUUAUGAUUCUGUUCCAAUUGCAUUCAAAUUGACUCCCAAAUGUCCUUUGCCGUGCCAGCGCAGACUUCCAAGAAGGUAUUUAGUUUCAAUCACGAGAAUAGCAUUUGCACUCAAUGAGAUGCUUGAAGGCAUUCAUAAGAAGCUAUUUCUUGGGGCAAUUGGAUAUGUGUUAUCUGUUUCCUUUUUUACUUAUUAAAUGUUGUGAAUUUUCUGGUGUUGUUUAAUACUUCUUGGCUUUCACAAAUAUGACAUUUUUCCUUGGAGAAAUCCUCUUGAAGUUCCUUCAUUUUGGAGUGUUUGUACAACUUCCUGGUAGAUGCUUGACAUUUUUAGCAUUGAAAUUUUUUUAAAAUGUUAAUCUUUCUCAUAUUAAAGAGUGUUCUACCUGAAGAUUUUCAGGUUUUCGCUUGUAGUCAAUGAAGAAUCUACUGAGGGCUAGAGGAUGAACAAUAUGUCACCUACGAAGCAUGGUGCCCCCUGCUAUCAGAAUUUUGGAUGGUAAUGGAUCUUUCCCUUCUCUUUCUCCCUAAGGAAGAAUAAAAGGCUUCUCUUUCAUUUUGUGGGGUUGUGAAGCUGGAAUAUACUUCUAUUUCGAUAAAGCUAUCAAGAAUUUUAUGCUUCUGCUUCUGCUCGACUCUUCACUUAUAAGUGAGCUAAGGUAGAGUAGUAAUAGCAUGCCAGGGAUGACAAUUUGGCCAUCAUUAUCAUUUUAAGGGGUGCUACAAAUUACUGUACAAGAAACACAAGAUAGAGUGGGCUCAGAUGGAAACUUGGUGGUAAGGUGGAUGGAGAUGGCUGUCAGAAUGGAUCUAACUAAAUUUUUCUUCUGUGUAGUUUGUUUUGUGCAACUAAUAA